CUGGUCCGGAUUGGUGGCCCGUCCAGAAUGGAACAACCUGCUUCCUGCUCACGGAGACCGGGUCGGACCCGCCAUAUACAAGAGCCUGAGGCUGCAAAAAAAAAGAUUGAUCUUCAUGAAGACUGUC